rnacentral:rRNA from 1 species
AUUGAACGCUGGCGGCAUGCCUUACACAUGCAAGUCGAACGGCAGCACGGGUGCUUGCACCUGGUGGCGAGUGGCGAACGGGGGAGUAAUACAUCGGAACAUGUCCUGUAGUGGGGGAUAGCCCGGCGAAAGCCGGAUUAAUACCGCAUACGAUCUACGGAUGAAAGCGGGGGACCGUCGGUCCUCGCCUUAUAGGGUUGGCCGAUAGUUGAUUAGGUAGCUGGUGGGGGAAGGGCCUACCAAGGCGACGGUCAGAAACUGGUCCGAAGGGAAGACCAGCCACACUGGCACUGAGGCACGGCCCAGACUCCUGCGGGAGGCAGCAGUGGGGAAUUUUGGACAAUGCGCGAAAGCCGGAUCCAGCAAUGCCGCGUGUGUGAAGACGGCCUUCGGGUUGUAAAGCACUUUUGUCCGGAAAGAAAUCCUUGGCUCUAAUACAGUCGGGGGAUGACGGUACCGGAAGAAUAAGCACCGGCUAACUACGUG